GACAGAGGCCUCAAGCGUUAGGCGGAAUCACUGGGCUUAAAGCGUGUGUAGGCGGAUCGUUAAGUGUCUUGUGAAAUCCCACGGCUCACCCGUGGAACUGCUGGGCAUACUGGCGAUCUUGGGCCAACUAGGGGCAACUGGAACAAGCGGUGGAGCGGUGAAAUGCGUAGAUAUCGCUUGGAACGCCGGAAGGUGAAAACAGGUUGCUGGGGUUGUGCCGACGCUGGAGAACACGGAAAGCCAGGGGAGCAAACGGG
rnacentral:rRNA from 1 species